rnacentral:siRNA from 1 species
CAUCGACCAGAGGCUGUUCAC